GUCGAAGUGCCAGAGUGGUUAAUGGGUAUGACUCGAACGGUCUUCUUCAGGACCCGAUAGAUAUCAUAUGGUUUCGGCCGCGUAGGUUCAAAUCCUGCCUUCGACG